rnacentral:lncRNA from 1 species
CAGAGAUAGGCUUGGCGAUGGCUAAAGAUUGCACACUGGAGAAGGAACUGGGCGAAGCAAUUCGUACCUGCGAGAUAGUCAGGCAGAGACUUGAAGUCGCGCUGGCGGAAAUGGCAGAGCUGAGCAGACUCCUGAAGCAGGCGGUCGAGACGGAUUCGGACGAGACCGGAUCCGCUCACACCAGCAGUGGUUAGGCCAUCCAUUCUUUUGGUACCAAGGAAUACACUAAAGGAUGUUUUGCCGCAAAGAUGGACUCUGGUAUCAAGCAAUACCCUACAGAAUGAUUUGCAGCAAAGACUGGCUGUUUGUUGCUUACAACGCACAUAACCAAAAACAGAAAGAGCAAAUAAAAUUCUUUGUUAACACAUA